UACGGAGGGGGCUAGCGUUGUUCGGAAUUACUGGGCGUAAAGCGCGCGCAGGCGGUCUUCCAAGUCAGUGGUGAAAGCCCGGAGCUCAACUCCGGAACUGCCAUUGAAACUGUUGGACUUGAGUAUAAGAGAGGUGAGUGGAAUUCCCAGUGUAGAGGUGAAAUUCGUAGAUAUUGGGAAGAACACCGGUGGCGAAGGCGGCUCACUGGCUCAUUACUGACGCUCGAGGCGCGGACAGCGUUGGGGAUCAAACAGGAUUAG
rnacentral:rRNA from 1 species